GAUGAACGCUGGCGGCGUGCCUAAUACAUGCAGGUCGAGCGAACGGACGAGAAGCUUGCUUCUCUGAUGUUAGCGGCGGACGGGUGAGUAACACGUGGAUAACCUACCUAUAAGACUGGGAUAACUUCGGGAAACCGGAGCUAAUACCGGAUAAUAUUUUGAACCGCAUGGUUCAAAAGUGAAAGACGGUCUUGCUGUCACUUAUAGAUGGAUCCGCGCUGCAUUAGCUAGUUGGUAAGGUAACGGCUUACCAAGGCAACGAUGCAUAGCCGACCUGAGAGGGUGAUCGGCCACACUGGAACUGAGACACGGUCCAGACUCCUACGGGAGGCAGCAGUAGGGAAUCUUCCGCAAUGGGCGAAAGCCUGACGGAGCAACGCCGCGUGAGUGAUGAAGGUCUUCGGAUCGUAAAACUCUGUUAUUAGGGAAGAACAUAUGUGUAAGUAACUGUGCACAUCUUGACGGUACCUAAUCAGAAAGCCACGGCUAACUACGUG
rnacentral:rRNA from 1 species